rnacentral:rRNA from 1 species
CCUACGUGAGGCAGCAGUGAGGAAUAUUGGUCAAUGGGCGCGAGCCUGAACCAGCCAAGUAGCGUGAAGGAUGACUGCCCUACGGGUUGUAAACUUCUUUUAUAAAGGAAUAAAGUGAGGCACGUGUGCCUUUUUGUAUGUACUUUAUGAAUAAGGAUCGGCUAACUCCGUGCCAGUAGCCGCGGUAAUACGGAGGAUCCGAGCGUUAUCCGGAUUUAUUGGGUUUAAAGGGAGCGUAGAUGGGUUGUUAAGUCAGUUGUGAAAGUUUGCGGCUCAACCGUAAAAUUGCAAUUGAUACUGGCAGUCUUGAGUACAGUAGAGGUGGGCGGAAUGCGUGGUGUAGCGGUGAAAUGCUUAGAUAUCACGAAGAACGCCGAUUGCGAAGGCAGCUCACUGGACUGCAACUGACACUGAUGCUCGAAAGUGUGGGUAUCAAACAGGAUUAGAUACCCCUGUAGUC